CAUUGAUUAUGACUUAACAAUCAGGAGGUUUUUGGUUCAUUUUCCUAACAAAAGUUUGGAAAAUGAGGGUUUUUUUAACUCAUAGGUUAAAAAAAAUAAUCGGCUGAGUGAUUUUAGGCACUUGGACUGUUUCCAUAAGCAUUUGGGACCCAAAUGGAAGUAUAAAAGUAUAAAUGUUUAUCUAAAUAAGCUCAAAUGUGUACACAACCCUCUCAUUUAUGGUAAAUGUCCUUCAGCAACCUGCAGGCUUUUUGUAGUCAUCAACAAGAUCCAGGUAUGACGCUGACUGGAUAUUCCAGCACUCUUCUCGUCAGCAGAGUUAAAGUUAUUUAAAAUGGCUGCAGACAAGUUGGGCAACAGUGACACAGAACCUGGUCUGGAAAAAUCAGAUGAUGCAACUGCAACAUUUUAUAGACGCCGUUUGGUUAAAAAUAAGAGGAAGUUUGUUAUCAGGGGUCCUUGGUUUGCUGACGGUGCAUCAAUGUACAUCAUGUCCCAGACUAAUCAUAACAUGGUUAAACAAUUAACAUGCAAUAAAAGGGAGUCUCUGUUUGAUGUCUGACCAAUU